CCUACGGGUGGCAGCAGUGGGGAAUAUUGGGCAAUGGGCGCAAGCCUGACCCAGCAACGCCGCGUGAAGGAAGAAGGCUUUCGGGUUGUAAACUUCUUUUCUCAGGGACGAAGCAAGUGACGGUACCUGAGGAAUAAGUCACGGCGAACUACGUGCCAGCAGCCGCGGUAAUACGUAGGUGGCAAGCGUUAUCCGGAUUUACUGGGUGUAAAGGGAGGGUAGGCGGGACUGUAAGUCAGAUUUUAAAAAAACGGGCUCAACCUGUGGCGGGCAUUUGAAACUGUAGAUCUUGAGUACUGGAGAGGCAGACGGAAUUCCUAGUGUAGCGGUAAAAUGCGUAGAUAUUAGGAGGAACACCAGUGGCGAAGGCGGUCUGCUGGACAGCAACUGACGCUGAGGCGCGAAAGCGUGGGGAGCAAACAGGAUUAGAUACCCGAGUAGUC
rnacentral:rRNA from 1 species